rnacentral:rRNA from 1 species
GACGAACGCUGGCGGCGUGCUUAACACAUGCAAGUCGAACGGAAAGGCCCUGCUUUUGUGGGGUGCUCGAGUGGCGAACGGGUGAGUAACACGUGAGUAACCUGCCCUUGACUUUGGGAUAACUUCAGGAAACUGGGGCUAAUACCGGAUAGGAGCUCCUGCUGCAUGGUGGGGGUUGGAAAGUUUCGGCGGUUGGGGAUGGACUCGCGGCUUAUCAGCUUGUUGGUGGGGUAGUGGCUUACCAAGGCUUUGACGGGUAGCCGGCCUGAGAGGGUGACCGGCCACAUUGGGACUGCGAUACGGACCAGACUCCUACGGGAGGCAGCAGUGGGGAAUAUUGCACAGUGGGCGGAAGCCUGAUGCAGCAACGCCGCGUGCGGGAUGACGGCCUUCGGGUUGUAAACCGCUUUCGACUGUGACGAAGCGUGAGUGACGGUAAUGGGUAAAGAAGCACCGGCUAACUACGUG